rnacentral:lncRNA from 1 species
GUUAACACAGUAGAUAAAAGGGUACGAAGUAUUUUGAAUAUCAGGAUAUUCAGAUAUAUAAUGAAUACAGGUCAUCAGGUUCACAGUCUAUGUAGUAUAUUACAGUAUUAGAGGCAUAUCAGAUGAGACGAAAAAACAGUAGAACUGCUUUAGAUUGAGUGCAGCAGCUACAAGAAUAAGACUAAAUUGAUAACACUUCUAUUUGUAUGUAGGUAAUUGGUCACCAUAAUAGUACUUCCCAAUAAUGUCUCCAUCUUUGAAUUCCAAGAAUUUGGUACACAUCACUAUAGACAUACACGUUUAACAUAAAUAAUCAUUCAAUUGAGUCAAAGAUAUGGAAUUCCAACUAAAACAUUCACUGAUCUACAAGUACCAGUAACUAACCUUUUCCUUGCUUCCAGCACUCCCAACAACAUAGCAACCUGUCAACUUUGCAAAUUGGCCAACAAGCUGACCUACUGCUCCAGAUGCGGCUGAAAUGUAGACAGUCUCUCCUUUCUUAGGAGAGCAAACCUCAAAAAACCCAGCAUAAGCAGUCAUUCCAGGCAUACCUACAUAACAUAUGAAUACGUCAGAUGAGCCCAAACAACCAGUAGACUCCAACAAGAGAUCUCAUGAGGGAACAGUAAACAAUAUGCACAAAAAAAUAUUGACACCAGCUGUCAACUUGUGAAUAUAGCAUGAAACUUUUAUGUUCUCUGCUCAUACAUGAAAAGGAGCCAACACAAUCAGUUGCACAAAAAACUAUUGCCACAACUUAACUCAAGGGGUUAGGCCCUCAAGAGCUGCAAGGGAACAAAUUGUGGCUAAUCAAAUUUGCACAUUAGACUAAAAGACUUGGGAGGUCUAUAAGUAACACAAACCAGUUUGUUAGUUACAAAAAAGUAGAAAGCAGGAGAAGUUGGCAAUACCGAGAAGUCCAGUAUAGUAAGAGAGAGGCACAUCAGUGUGGUGAAUUUUAAACAGAGACUCUGUGGCAGUGAUGACACUAUAUUCUUCCCAGCCAGUAUGACCCCAAACCAAGUCGCCUGGCUUAAACUUUGGAUCCCCAGAUUCCAGGACUUUAGCCACUCCAUAACCAGUUACAGUCUGCAACAUGGAAUUCCAAAUUUUCUUUAGUUUGCUCUAUAUAUGCAAAUCUCUGAAUAAAGCACACUUUUUUUUUAUUCCAAAUUAUCUCAUGCAUUACAAUUUUACAUCAUUGUCCUUAUGUCACCUGGCCUCCAAACCUGGAAUUAAAAAUCUCUCAUCCACAUGACCCAAAGAAGCGAAUUUACAGAAAAAAUGAUAAAUAAAAGGGAUCUGCUAGAAGACACCUGGCCGGGGUUGAAGGAUUGGACAUAAGAGGGCCUGUCGUGCUUGGUCAUAUGGCCGCGUAAGUAAGGAUCGCAGGACAAGUAUAGGUUCUUGACGACAAGGCCAGUCGACCCUUGUGGAAGCUUGAGUUUGGCUGUGGACGUCCUCAAUUCCAUGUCGGAUUCUUUGGGGAACCCGGUCACAUAGUCUUUGAAUAUCACCUGCUUGUUGCUCAUCUCGCUCGCCAUUCGUACUUGCUUGCUGUUGAGAUCAAACUGCUCAAUGCUCUGGUCGUCCUUUCGAUGAGUGAUCAGCUAUUAUUUAUACACACAGAUAUGGACAAACGACAGGAAUGUCCAUUCCGGACAAGCAGAGAAGCCAAGUCCAUUCCGGACACACCAUUCCAGUUAUGGGUUCACAUUUCACCCGACGACGAAGUUGGUGCUUAUGUCAUCCACCUCUACUUACUUACGAGGCCCGAUCCAACGUAACCCUACCCUACCAAACUGUAUCUGAUGCAUUCACCAGCCAACUUACACAUGCCCAAUAUGCCCCAACAACAAAAACAAAAAGAACUUUGCAGCAGAACACAAGAGUUUGAUUCCCUUGUCUUCUGUUCUAUCAAUCUCCUGGUAUUAGUGGUAUUCUUUAUUUUCUUUUCAGCAACUACUGUAGGUUGCAUUAUGCGUUAUUCUUUUGGAAGUUUUUUAAUUGUUUUAAUUUUAUGUCUUAUAUUUUUCAUUUAACUAGAUCUACGUCCACCUACAAAAGUCGUCUUAUACAUACAAGAAUGUUGUCAUUUCAAAAAGUGCAUUCAUAUCUUCUUCUCAAUAUUAGAUCACACGCUGCCUUUCUCUUCAUACUUGAUAAUAGUAUAAAACAUGCUACAUUUAUUAGUGAUAAAGUAAUUUGGGAUUCACAUCCAAAACCAAUUGGUAAUGGGUGGAGUGGCCCAAACCCUUAUUAACCCACAUGCAAGGUCUCAUAUUCCCGAUGUGAGAUAUAUAUCUUAACACGCCCCCGCACGUGUGACGAAUCUUCUCAACACGUCUCCGCACGUGUGUCAAAUCUUCAACCCUAACACGUAGACAACAUUUGAGUGACGUGGAGUUCGUGUGGCCAUUGGGCUUCACACGUGGACGUGGGUAACCCGCUCUGAUACCAUGAUAAAAUAGUCUGGGGUUCACAUCCAAAACCAAUUGGUAAUGGGUAGAGUGGCCCAAACCCUUAUUAACCCACAUGCAAGGUCAUAUAUUCCCGAUGUGAGAUAUAUAUCUCAACAAUUAGGAUCAGACAGUUCUCCUCGACAUAAAAUGCAAUAUCCAAAGCAAGCUAACCAUAUACCUGAUACAAAGUUCAUUACAUAUACCAAGGUGCACUGCAGAUGGGCUUAAACAACUUAACAUAAAAACAAAUGACUCGGACUUCAGAAGUACAGAUGGAGCCGGAUUAGUAAUCACUCCCUGGAAACUACAACAACCUGCUUUCCCACGUUGCGGCCAGCAAAGAGCCCAAUCAGAGCUGCAGGAGCGUUCUCAAGGCCUUCAACUACAUCUUCCACAUAUGUAAUCUUCCCUUCUUUUAUGGCAGGCAACACUGUUUCAAGAAACUUUCCAUACAGAUGACAGUAACUGCUCACCAGGAAACCUUCCAUGCGGACCUGCUUAACAAUCAGAGACAUCAAAUUAUGUAUGCCUUCAGGCUUCUCCAAGUUGUACUGAGAUAUCAUCCCACACACUGCUAUUCGCCCUUUCAGCCUCAUGUUUGGUAGCACUGCAUCAAGCAUCUUUCCCCCCACAUUCUCAAAGUAAAUGUCAAUACCAUCAGGAAAAUACCUGCAGGUUAGCCAAAAACAACUUUAAACAAGAUGUAUAUUCCCAAAAUGAGGUACACAUGCGCAGCAUGAGACCAGACACUUUGUUUUCCCCUUGUGUUUCUAGAUUGAAUUCAGACUCUUAUUAAUGCCUGUGGAGGGUUUGUACCUCCAAAUCCAAUAUUGGAAAAACGAACCAGUCUAGUGUCACUGUAAUUAGAAUAAACAAAGAUCCUAGACUAAGUCAAAGCAUUAAGCAUAUUUUGGAUUCCGACUGCUAAGAGAUAUAUUACAUUCUCACCUUCUUAAAGCUGCAUCCAGGUCAGGUUCGUCUUUAUAGUUGAAAGCCUCAUCAAAUCCGAAUUUGUUCUUCAGCAGAUCAACCUGAGAUCCCAUGUUAACACAGUAGAUAAAAGGGUACGAAGUAUUCUGAAUAUCAGGAUAUUCAGAUAUACAAUGAAUACAGGUCAUCAGGUUCACAGUCUAUGUAGUAUAUUACAGUAUUAGAGGCAUAUCAGAUGAGGCGAAAAAACAGUAGAACUGCUUUAGAUUGAGUGCAGCAGCUACAAGAAUAAGACUAAAUUGAUAACACUUCUAUUUGUAUGUAGGUAAUUGAUCACCAUAAUAGUACUUCCCAAUAAUGUCUCCAUCUUUGAAUUCCAAGAAUUUGGUACACAUCACUAUAGACAUACACAUUUAACAUCACUAUAGACAUACACAUUUAACAUAAAAAUAGUCAUACAAUUGAGUCAAAGAUAUGGAAUCCCAACUAAAACAUUCACUGAUCUACGAGUACCAGUAACUAAC